UCCCAGGGAUGGGAGCCCUCCCCUGUGUGUACAAGCCCUUCUCUUAGUGAAGAGAGUAACAGGACCUAAGGAGCUGAGGACCUACCCGUGGCCAGAGCUUGGGGUGAUCUGGCGACUUCUAGUCCAGAGAGGAAAGCCCUCACUGAGCCUUGACCCAACCUUUCUAUAGAUAUAUUUUAAUUGUGAAAACUCUUUUUUUCACCUUUUUAUUCUUUUAUUUUAUUAACAUUGGUGUUCUACCUGCAUGGAUGUCUCUGUGAGGAUGUCAGCCCUCCCACCCCCGUAACUGGAAUUACACACAGUUGAGACUACCAUGUGGAUGCUUGGAAUUGAACCCCUGGGUCCUUUGGAAGAGUAGCCAGUGCUCUUAACCACUGAGCCAUCUCUUCAGCCUUAAGUUUGAAAGUUCUUAAUGGAAGUCUUUGUACUUUUCUAAACAUUAUGAGAAAGCACUGAUCACACCAAGGACUGCUCGCUUGUGUGUUAGUCUGCUGAGUGGUGGCUGUGGCUAUGGUUUAGCUGACUCUAUGAUGACAAUAAGAGCUUUUAUUUUUUAUUUAUUUUUUACUAUUUAUUUAUUUAUUUAUUUAUUUAGUUAGUUAGUUAGUUAGUUAUUGGUUGAGACAGAAUUUCUCUAUGUAGCCCUGGCUGUCCUGAAACUCACUCUGUGGACCAGGCUGGCCUUGAACUCACAGAUAUCCUCCUGCCUCCACCUCCGCCUCUGCCUCCUGAGUGCUAGGAUUAAAAGCAUGCACAUGCUCCACCACUGCCAGGCAUGGAACUUGCUCCAUGCAUCCAAAAGCGCAUCAUCACUAAUUAACUCAGAGUAGUAGCCUGCUAGAAAAUCCGUGUGCAGACUCCUGCUAAGAAAGCGUUGAGAUAGCCGGGCGUGGUGGCGUUGAGACACUUCCCAUACAAGCGCAGAGGGCUACAGGCAGCAACCUGCCUUUGUGCAGAGGGGUUUUGGCUCCAUUUUGCUGAGGGCUACUUCAAUGGUUCAGUCCCAGUGACACUAAGGGAGUGGGAAAUCCCCUUGCCUCUGCCUUUCCCCUGUGACUUUUCCCCAUGUCCUCGGGUUCUCUACAUCUAGAUUCUGUUCUCUGAGCUGGGUGCUGGACAUUGUGAGAGACUGGGAGGCCCUGAAGUCAUGUGGUGGAUCAGUGUGCCUGUCCAGUUUUCUGUACCCAGGUCCCCGUGACUCUUGAUUCUCAGGCGCCACCAGGGGGCACUGCUAACCUCCAGAUGGCAGCAUUGGCAGGGCUACAGGGCACAGCUGCAAUUGUGCAAACCCAGCAAGUACAACCAGCUGCUGCCACUCUCCGUGGCCCUGCGACUUUACCAGACUAAAACUGAGGUGAAUGGAGCAUGGGGGAGGGGCAGGCAUGGCACACAAAUUCACAGGUCAUUGCCUGGGUUUCUAGGGAGAUGGGGUAAGACCUAGAACUCUAAAUGGGACACUGCAUUUAGCACUAAAACAUUGCUGAGCACAAUGCCUACUGGUAUGGUUGUGGCAGGGGUUGGGCCUUCCAUGCCCUGGCCUGAUGUUGUCUUCUAGGAGGAACAUACUUCCGGCCCCUGGCCCAGCCCCCAAAAUGGCCCCUUCAGCAGAGGGGAGUAUUGUGGUUUUGUUCUGCCUUGAGAGGAUGGAAAAGCACUCUCGUUUAGCCACUUCCUGCCCUCUGUCAGGGCUCCUCAGUGCCUCUGAGAGUUCAACAGAAGGCCGCAGGAUGAGGUGAAACCACCACAGAUGAAGCAGAUGGCAGAAAAUAGUCAUCUGUGGGCUUUCUGUGGUCAGCAACCACUGAGCACCCCAGUGAGCAGGUACCACGCGGCAGCUAGAGCAAUGAGGAGAACAGAUACGCUUGCUAGGUCAUGGUGACCCCUCCUGAAGGCCUGAAGGGUCAGGGGACUCCUGAUCGUGUGCUGGGACAUAACAACAAGCAUUGGGUCCACCAUGUGACUACACAAACAUCUCUGCCACCAGAGGUUCUGACUGGGAGAAAAAUGGGAAACAAGAUCAGUGACCAUCUUUGCUCUUCAACUCCUCUGGAGCAGCGGAGUGCAGACUCAGAUUGACCUGCGUGGAGGUUCAUUACGUGGAAAAACUCCCGAGGGUUUCUGGUGGCAAAGGCUUGUCAUCCUGAUGCAUCUCCUUACCAACACGGGGCAGGACCUCAAGCUUUCACUCUUUAGGUGACAAGGGAUGAUGUUUAUCUUCUGCUCCCGCAAAAGGAGAGAACUGACCCCUGAAAGUUGUUCCUCCACCUCUGCACCAUUGUGUUCGGUGCCCCCCAAAACAAAUCAACAAAUAAAUACAUAGAAGAAAAAAAAUUAAAUACGAAAGUAUGCUCGUCUUUUCGAUGACUCUGACAGAAGAAAAUCAAAGUGUUCUAUUUGCAUACUCAGAGCUCUUCCGAGUCGCUGAGCCCCUUGCGGACGCUCCUCGCAGUCUUCUGUGGUGGAGCUUUCUUCUGCAGACCCUGACCUACCAAGUGGGAACUUAGCCAAUAACUCAGAAGAAAUGGAACAGCCCGAGUGCAUCUGGUGAAGCGCCUGAGACAAAAGUAACAAAACUGUGUCCACGCUGAAACAAAAAGUAACAAAACCAUGUUCACACCCUGGGACCUACACUCCCAUCACCCUUGAUGACAGAAGAUGAAGGAAAUAAAAAAACACAGAGGAAAGUGAGCAGGGUUCUAUCAGGUGAGGCAUCUGGAUGGACAGACAGCACACAGGAGUGGCAGUGCCUGUGCAGAGCAGGAAGCCGAGCUGUGCUGUGGGAAGAAGGGGAUGGUGGGGAUGGAUGCGCAGCUAUUGAGCCAGUCUUUAGUCCACACUCAGGACGAUCCCAAAGCUGUUGUUUGUACUCUGCCAGCUUUAAGAGGGUAUGGGCUGGGAAGAUGGAUCAGCCGCUAAAGGACUGCUCAGUCAACCGGGCUGGAGGUGGAAUCCCAGCACCCAUGUGGAGUGGCUCAUAGCUCAAGCUCUGGGGUGUAUCUAAAGUCAGCUAUAGUGUACGCAUAUAAAUAAUAAUAAAUAAAUAAAUAAUAUUUAAA
rnacentral:lncRNA from 1 species